CCUACGGGGGGCAGCAGUGGGGAAUAUUGGACAAUGGGCGGAAGCCUGAUCCAGCAACGCCGCGUGAGGGAUGACGGCCUUCGGGUUGUAAACCUCUUUCAGCACCGACGAAGCUGCGCUUUUGGUGUGGUGACGGUAGGUGCAGAAGAAGGACCGGCCAACUACGUGCCAGCAGCCGCGGUAAUACGUAGGGUCCGAGCGUUGUCCGGAAUUAUUGGGCGUAAAGGGCUCGUAGGCGGUUUGUCGCGUCGGGAGUGAAAACCGGGUGCUUAACACUUGGCUUGCUUUCGAUACGGGCAGACUAGAGGCAUGCAGGGGAGAACGGAAUUCCUGGUGUAGCGGUGAAAUGCGCAGAUAUCAGGAGGAACACCGGUGGCGAAGGCGGUUCUCUGGGCAUGUCCUGACGCUGAGGAGCGAAAGUGUGGGGAGCGAACAGGAU
rnacentral:rRNA from 1 species